rnacentral:tRNA from 1 species
AGGAAAAUAGUUUAAAAAAACAUUUGAAUUGCAAUCAAAAAAUAUUAAUAAUUAAUUUUUCUU